rnacentral:lncRNA from 1 species
GCAGACAUCUCAGUGUUCAUAUCAAAUUUCUUGCUGUAAUUGACUAGAUUACGUAAAAUUGAAAAUUUUAAAUCAUACUAGACACAAUAAAGAUUAAAAACCCUAAUUAUUGAACUCAUUAUAUUCAAAAUAUGCCGUGAAAUAAAUCAAAUGGCGGAAAAAAAAAAAACCCAAAGUUCUUACCUGAUUUUGUGAACCGAAGCCUUCAAUCUCCAAAAAACUCUGUUUUUCUCAACGAUUAUCACAAAUUAGUAACAAAAGGUUUUGAUUCACAGCUUUAAGAUCAAAAUGCC